rnacentral:rRNA from 2 species
GUGUGUUCCAGGUAAAUCCGGUUCACUUUAACACUGAGGCGUGACGACGAGGCACUACGGUGCUGAAGCAACAAAUGCCCUGCUUCCAGGAAAAGCCUCUAAGCAUCAGGUAACAUCAAAUCGUACCCCAAACCGACACAGGUGGUCAGGUAGAGAAUACCAAGGCGCUUGAGAGAACUCGGGUGAAGGAACUAGGCAAAAUGGUGCCGUAACUUCGGGAGAAGGCACGCUGACACGUAGGUGAAGUGAUUUACUCAUGGAGCUGAAGUCAGUCGAAGAUACCAGCUGGCUGCAACUGUUUAUUAAAAACACAGCACUGUGCAAACACGAAAGUGGACGUAUACGGUGUGACGCCUGCCCGGUGCCGGAAGGUUAAUUGAUGGGGUCAGCGCAAGCGAAGCUCCUGAUCGAAGCCCCGGUAAACGGCGGCCGUAACUAUAACGGUCCUAAGGUAGCGAAAUUCCUUGUCGGGUAAGUUCCGACCUGCACGAAUGGCGUAAUGAUGGCCAGGCUGUCUCCACCCGAGACUCAGUGAAAUUGAACUCGCUGUGAAGAUGCAGUGUACCCGCGGCAAGACGGAAAGACCCCGUGAACCUUUACUAUAGCUUGACACUGAACAUUGAGCCUUGAUGUGUAGGAUAGGUGGGAGGCUUUGAAGCGUGGACGCCAGUCUGCGUGGAGCCGACCUUGAAAUACCACCCUUUAAUGUUUGAUGUUCUAACGUGGACCCGUAAUCCGGGUUGCGGACAGUGUCUGGUGGGUAGUUUGACUGGGGCGGUCUCCUCCUAAAGAGUAACGGAGGAGCACGAAGGUUGGCUAAUCCUGGUCGGACAUCAGGAGGUUAGUGCAAUGGCAUAAGCCAGCUUGACUGCGAGCGUGACGGCGCGAGCAGGUGCGAAAGCAGGUCAUAGUGAUCCGGUGGUUCUGAAUGGAAGGGCCAUCGCUCAACGGAUAAAAGGUACUCCGGGGAUAACAGGCUGAUACCGCCCAAGAGUUCAUAUCGACGGCGGUGUUUGGCACCUCGAUGUCGGCUCAUCACAUCCUGGGGCUGAAGUAGGUCCCAAGGGUAUGGCUGUUCGCCAUUUAAAGUGGUACGCGAGCUGGGUUUAGAACGUCGUGAGACAGUUCGGUCCCUAUCUGCCGUGGGCGCUGGAGAACUGAGGGGGGCUGCUCCUAGUACGAGAGGACCGGAGUGGACGCAUCACUGGUGUUCGGGUUGUCAUGCC